GACAGAGGCCCCAAGCGUUAGGCGGAAUCACUGGGCUUAAAGCGUGUGUAGGCGGACGCCUAAGUGUCUUGUGAAAUCCCACGGCUCACCCGUGGGAACUGCUGGGCAUACUGGGCGCUCUUGGGCCCAACUAGGGGCAGCCGGAACAAGCGGUGGAGCGGUGAAAUGCGUAGAUGAUCGCUUGGAACGCCGAAGGUGAAAACAGGCUGCUGGGGUUG
rnacentral:rRNA from 1 species